rnacentral:lncRNA from 1 species
AAAAUCCCACGAUAUUAAAACUACUUAUGUCACAAACUACUUAACACACGAUAUUACCCACGGCUCAUGAGUGUGACGUUUUCAAUUUUAUUUUUAAACUAAUACUUAUGUGCUUUGUUGUUUGUAGCAAUUGAGGCAUCCACGCAAUAAUUAUGGAACCAAACCACAGAUCUGUCGAAAGAGGUAAUGUAAUUUCACAGAUUAUCAUUUCAAACUUUUCGCAAAUUUAUUGCAUUUCGCCAUAUCUUGAAUUCAAAGAGCAACCAUUCAUUGAAAGAGCUGCAAAAAAGCAUCGGAGAAGAAGAAGAAAAAGUAAGAAUAAAUUUGACCAUUUUUUUUUUAUUUUGAAAUCUCAUACAAUUUCUUCUCACUCUCUUGAAUUUCCCUUCUUCCCUAUAUUUGUUGUUCUGUAAAUCGGCCAAAAAUUUGUACCAGUAUUUGUAAAUUGUGUUUUUUUUUCCUUAAAAAAAUUGCACUGUUGUGUUUCAUUUGUCGGGUUAGGUGUGUAUAGAUUUAGAGUAGUAAUAUUUGAUCACACAUCAGGAAUUAGAUUUUGAAAUUGCUGUGCCUGUAAGUAAUCCGAUUGUGCUGAAAUUCGGUCUAAAUCAUGCUCCAUUAAAAUGCUUUCACCACAUUCUUUUCCAUCGGUGUGCAGUUAUUAUUAUUUAUUUAUUAUUAAACAUCUUUGCAGUUAUUUAAUUAACUAUCUAAUUUAUUUUGGUGUUGCAGGGUUUUUUUGUUUUUUUUAUAAAUUCAAUUGCAUAUACCUUCAUGCUUUAUACUUAUUACCAUCUAAAAUACAGAUUUCCCUCAUCUAUACAAGGACCGAGAUUUGCUGGUGGAAACAGAAAAAAACUAUCACCGCUAACUUUUUGAAACUGCAGAAAAAGGUAGGAGAAUUGGAAUUGAAUUUUAGAUUUGGAAGAAUAAUUAACAAACUAGAAGGAUUAGAAGACCUACACAAGCGUAGAGUGGUGCCAUGCCUUUUUAGUCUCCUACCUUUUGUUUCUUGAAUUUAUUUUUAUGUUUCUAUAUUUUAAUUCUUUUGUGGCAUUUGAGAUUUUUUAACAAUUUGAGAUUGUAGAGUUUGUGAAAAUAAAUGACAUAAAGUGAUUCACAAGUCACAAAUUUGAAAAAGAUGUUGUGCGAAGACAACAUGUUUUAAUUUGUAUUGGAAUUAAUUAUUGUGUAUUUUUUCCCUUCAUAUAUAUUUACUCGCAUUCAUAGAUUUUUCACUCACUUCUUAUAUUUUUGUUUCUCGAACAAGUGUCGCAGUUUUUCAGCACAAAGCAGUUUCGAUUCCGCAAUGUCACACAUAUUUUUCUCGAAUAAGUGGAUCAGGUCAUAAUUCUACUUAUUCAUCACCUCGAGGAAGCCAAAUGUAAGCUCUUCCUUCUUUUUCUUCCUUUGAUCGAAAUUUUGUGAUUUCAGACAUUAUUUUUGUAAUAAUCAAUUAUGUCUCUGUUUGUAGCAUUGAGGAACAGGAAAGAAAGACAACUACGAAAAGGAAGAGAUGAGAAGUCAAGUGAACAGAGACUGCACAAAAUCCUCUUCCUAAACUUGAUUGACCGUUCCUGUGCAAGACACAAUUUUUUUUUCUUUUCAUCAUCUAUUGUUUUGUUUUCUUAAUUAGUUUCUGUUUUUUUUCCUGAAUACCUUUUCAACGAUUAAUUUUUUGUUUCUAAUUUUUCAGUUUUUGUUUCGCGCCUAUUCUGUUUUUCAUCUUCAUAAAUUUCCGGG